rnacentral:lncRNA from 1 species
GCCAAAAACUAUUUAUUCAGACGUUUUAUGAUAGCUUGAUUUUAUCAUUAAUAUCAUUGCUUAAACUGCAACAAACACAACAUUCACAACAUCGAUCUGAUAUUGUAUCUAGUGUAGUUUUUUUUUUUACUUAUAGGCAACUAUUGGCUUUACGAUUGUAGCAAAUAACAUUUUUUCAGCUUAAUAUUAAACAUAUUCAUUUUAUUAAAACAAAAUACUAAAAUCACUCAUCAGUAUACAUAUUCAU